CGUCCUUCCAGGUGGACUUUACAAGACUGUGGACGACAGAAGGGAAGUGCGCAGGUAGGUCUCACUGUAAUAAUGGAAAAAGGGGCCUGAUCAACCUCUUGGGGCUGGAUGAGUCUAUGGUGGCUGUGUCCUCACAGGCUCAGUGAGAAAUUGUUUAUUGAAAUAACUGGUACUCUGUUAACCAUGCCUGUACUGAUUGUCAACGUAUCUUUUGGUUUCCAAAGGACUGUCCCCUUUGCCGUGACACCCUCCCAUUCUCCUUAAGGACUCAGGGACCUCCUGAGCAUUGCUUGGGGUCAGAUUGGGAACUGUGGCUUUGGACACGUGUUUGCCUACAUCAGUGAUGAGACCGUCUUGGAUUUUGGAAGGAUCAGACUUGUGCAGAGAAGAGUACGUGGAAGCCUUAAUUGAUUGGAUCUGGUUGGCGGCUGAGAGAGCAAGAAAAGCAUGAGAGGUAUUACUACUGAAAGACUUAGCAGGUGCAUUUUUGCAGAUGAGUCUGGAAGCAUUAGUUGCAAAGAUAUGCAUUUGCCUCUCUGGUUACAUGAAAGAAGAGAAAUGUACAACAAUGCUAAAGUGAGCUUGUGCUGCUAUGAGAAAGAGCUUUCACGGCAUUGGCAGAUACCUUGGUCCCAUUAGAAAGUCAAUGGUGCCUCUCUACUCCCACUGCUGCCAAUAACUAAAGCUGCUGAAGAAGAGUGAGUUCGUGGUGUGGUUGCCCCACCUUUUCUACCUUUCUUUACUUUGAACUCUCAGUGUCCUUUGAGAGUUUUCUGUCCAUUCUUUUCUUUUCCCAAACAAAGACUUCCUUGGGCAGAAUUGUCAAAUCAACUCCCCUGUCAGCAUUCCCUUUUGCUGCUUGCUCCUCUUCCUUUAUUUCUCUGUGCAGGCUUCUCCCCUCUUUCUGCCCAGCCCCUCAGUCAGAGUUCAGCCGGAGAAGAAGAACCAACAGGAGAUAAAUUUAGAAAUGUAUUGCAUAGAAUUGGCUUACAUAACUGUGGUGGCUGUGAGGGGACAGUGGUAGGGUGGACCAUCAGAAAGGGCAGAAUGGGACACUUGGGCAUCAGUUAAAACUGUUAUCCACAGAGGAAUUUCUUCUGCUGAGAAACCUCAGUUCUACUCUUAAAAACCUUUUAGCUGACUGAAUCAGGCCCACCAGAUUAUCUAGGAGAAUCUUCCUUAAAGUCAACUGAUUACAGAUUUAAUUCACAUGUACAAAAUAUCUUCACUGUAACACCUGAAUUAGGGUUUGAUUAAAUAAGUGGAGACUAUGUCUAGCCAGUCAACUUAUAGGACUGACCAGCACACCCCAUUUCUUUUAAAAUUUGGCUUUUAUAUAGUGGCUUAAUUAGUGGUUAUUAAUGGAAAGAGGGAAGUGGGGAGGGGCAAAAUUGUGAUAGGGGAUUAAGAGACAGAGACUACCAUAAAUAAAAUAAGAUAUAAGGAUAUAGCUUAAAACA
rnacentral:lncRNA from 1 species